UACAGGGGGGGCAAGCGUUGUUCGGAAUUACUGGGCGUAAAGCGCACGUAGGCGGCUUUGUAAGUUAGAGGUGAAAGCCCGGGGCUCAACUCCGGAACUGCCUUUAAGACUGCAUCGCUUGAAUCCAGGAGAGGUGAGUGGAAUUCCGAGUGUAGAGGUGAAAUUCGUAGAUAUUCGGAAGAACACCAGUGGCGAAGGCGGCUCACUGGACUGGUAUUGACGCUGAGGUGCGAAAGCGUGGGGAGCAAACAGG
rnacentral:rRNA from 1 species